AGAGUUUGAUCCUGGCUCAGGAUGAACGCUGGCGGCGUGCUUAACACAUGCAAGUCGAACGAGGUCCAACCUUCGGGUGAAGACCGAGUGGCGAACGGGUGAGUAACACGUGGGGAACCUGCCCUUCUCUCUGGGAUAACGUCGAGAAAUCGGUGCUAAUACCGGAUACUCCUUGCGGAUCGCAUGGUCUGCUCGGGAAAGCUCCGGCGGAGAGGGAUGGCCCCGCGGCCCAUUAGCUAGUUGGUGAGGUAAUGGCCCACCAAGGCGACGAUGGGUAGCCGAGCUGAGAGGCUGAUCGGCCACACUGGGACUGAGACACGGCCCAGACUCCUACGGGAGGCAGCAGUGGGGAAUUUUGUACAAUGGGCGAAAGCCUGAUGCAGCAACGCCGCGUGCGGGAUGAAGGCCCUCGGGUUGUAAACCGCUUUCAGCAGGGACGAAUAUGACGGUACCUGCAGAAGAAGCCCCGGCUAACUACGUGCCAGCAGCCGCGGUAAUACGUAGGGGGCAAGCGUUAUCCG
rnacentral:rRNA from 1 species